rnacentral:tRNA from 1 species
GGAUUGUGGCUCAGCGGUAGAGCGCUCGCCUAGGAUGGGAGGGACCUGGGUUCGAUCCUCAGCACCA